rnacentral:tRNA from 1 species
AGAAGCGUGCCCGAAUUGCAAGGAUUAUUUUGAUAAAAUAGACAUAGAGGCCACACCCUCUCACUUCUA